UACGGAGGGUGCGAGCGUUGUCCGGAUUUAUUGGGUUUAAAGGGUGCGUAGGCGGCUUUUUAAGUCUGGGGUGAAAGCCCGCUGCUCAACAGCGGAACUGCCCUGGAUACUGGAGAGCUUGAGUACAGACGAGGUUGGCGGAAUGGACUGAGUAGCGGUGAAAUGCAUAGAUACAGUCCAGAACCCCCGAUUGCGAAGGCAGCUGACUAGGCUGUUACUGACGCUGAGGCACGAAAGCGUGGGGAGCGAACAGG
rnacentral:rRNA from 1 species